GAUGAACGCUGGCGGCGUGCUUAACACAUGCAAGUCGAACGAUGAAGCCCAGCUUGCUGGGUGGAUUAGUGGCGAACGGGUGAGUAACACGUGAGUAACCUGCCCUUAACUCUGGGAUAAGCCUGGGAAACUGGGUCUAAUACCGGAUAGGAGCGUCCACCGCAUGGUGGGUGUUGGAAAGAUUUAUCGGUUUUGGAUGGACUCGCGGCCUAUCAGCUUGUUGGUGAGGUAAUGGCUCACCAAGGCGACGACGGGUAGCCGGCCUGAGAGGGUGGCCGGCCACACUGGGACUGAGACACGGCCCAGACUCCUACGGGAGGCAGCAGUGGGGAAUAUUGCACAAUGGGCGAAAGCCUGAUGCAGCGACGCCGCGUGAGGGAUGACGGCCUUCGGGUUGUAAACCUCUUUCAGUAGGGAAGAAGCGAAAGUGACGGUACCUGCAGAAGAAGCACCGGCUAACUACGUG
rnacentral:rRNA from 1 species